UACGGAGGGGGCUAGCGUUGUUCGGAAUUACUGGGCGUAAAGCGCGCGUAGGCGGCUUUGUAAGUUAGAGGUGAAAGCCCGAAGCUCAACUUCGGAAUUGCCUUUAAGACUGCAUCGCUAGAAUUGUGGAGAGGUAAGUGGAAUUCCGAGUGUGGAGGUGAAAUUCGUAGAUAUUCGGAAGAACACCAGUGGCGAAGGCGACUUACUGGACACAUAUUGACGCUGAGGUGCGAAAGCGUGGGGAGCGAACAGG
rnacentral:rRNA from 1 species